rnacentral:misc_RNA from 1 species
ACUUUGAAAGGUGAAUAUCAGCGAGAUUUAUCUAGAAAAUAUGGAUUGAAGGCCCUCAAAUACUUGUCAGUGGACUGAGCAGUGAUUUCACAUUGUCAUGAAAUCAGAGACAUCCUGUAUUAUUCUCUUUCUUAAAAGUUUAAUAGUUUUACCUCAUAUAUAAGUUUAAAGAUACUCAAGACAUUGUUAACUUCAGUUGAAUUUAACAAGGCAGCCAAAACAAAACAUGUAGUGUCUUCCUAUAAGCCAUAAACCUCUGUCUGAUUUUUAGUGUCAAAUCUUGACUAGCAUCAACAAAAAGUUACUGUAAACCUACUAUUAUUUGCAUGCGAUAGAUCCUCGCCAGGCUCGCAAGAGCCUCGUUUUUGAAAAUUUUUCCCACCUCGAACCAGUCCUUGUUGAAUUGUUUUUUAUAACAACACUAGUAUAAAAAGGGACUUUGUCAAAAAUUAGUUUGGACAAUGAAAGUUUAAUUGUUUACAUGUUAUUUGUGCAUUUAUUAAUUCAGAUCUUCUACCUGUGCAUCAUUUAAACGGCCAGUAUAUUUCGUUUAAAAAAAAUCUUGCUAACAAUUCUGGAACAAUACUUCAUUUUAUGAGGUAUAAUUUCAUCAUAUACAUAUUGUACUCUUAUGAACUGCCAUAUUGCAAUAUUUUGUUGAAAUAUUGAGUAAUUUUAUUUUUAGACUAUAGUCAUAACCAUCACUCAUGUAUGAGAAAGAAGAUUGUAUAUCAAAUAUUUGGAUUUUCAAACAGCUGUACUUAGUUUUAUAGAUGCAUGUUUCUUUUUAUAUUUGUAUUUGAUAUAAUGCAGGCAUUGUGCAGGGCUUUCAAAUGUAAUUUGUUGUGCUAUUUUAUUAAUAUUUUUUUUUAUGAAACAUUGUUGUGUAUUUUGAGUAUGAUUUCUCAAAAGAGUAUUGUGAAUUUUUUUAUACAGCAACGUCGUAAUACAAAUACAAAAUGGAUAAAAGACACAAAUUU